rnacentral:lncRNA from 1 species
AAACAAUUAUUGAGCUCACUCUCUUUAAAGCAAAGACGUAAAGUUUGUAGGCUAUUGUUAACUAAUGUUAUACCUGCAGAGGUGAACUUUUAAAAAUCCAACUUUAAACUUUAUUACUGUAUUUUUCUUCAGGGUAAAACAAAAUUAUGGGUCAGUUUUCACUGAAGUAGGCUGGCUGUGUGUAUUCACCUUUCAACAACGUCAAAAGGAAUUGUACACAUCAUUCCCUGGACAACAGGAUGAAUGCCUGUCUCAGGACACUAGGGAGAUCAGCUGUACACAAGAAUGUAUCCCGUUGAUGCAAAACUGUCUAUUGAACAUAGAAAAGACGUUUCCCCUAUUUUAUGUGAAUCAAAAACAAAAGGUACAGCAGGAAAUCAAAAAAAUCAAGACAUCUCAUCCAAAAAGGUCAGGAAUCUAAAGAUGAAAUUGAGGAUGAAGAAUUGGACACCAGUUUUAAUAUAUCAGCACUCAAACUACCCAUAUGCACUUCAAGUCCACUGAAGUACGCUGAAGCAUUGAAAGAGAAGCAAGAAGUUUAUUUUCCUGCCCUCACCCAACCAUUUUCUAUCAUUCAUCCAAAACCACUAAUUAAAAAACACACAGUAUCAGAGAGGAAGAGAAGAGAGAUAUUUUCUACACAGGGACCUGGCAUAAAAUUCCAAAUGCUUAAUGAUGUAGAUAAAUAUUACGUAGAACAAAAGAAGCUGGACCUCCAUAAAGAAAAAGUAAAAGCUGUAGCCAGGGCACAAGCUGCCCAAGAAAGAAUUAUCCUAACUGCUGAUGAAAAUUUAAACAAGAAAAAAUGUAUUGCACAGAAGAUGAGUGAAAGACAUAACAAGACAAUUCAGAGAGGUUUACAGCAAGUUUUGCAGGAAAGAUUAAACUAUCUUGCAAAAGUUAAAGAGAGAAGAAUGCUUUUUCUAGAACAAAAAAAACCCAGAAGGCUGCAGACCACUUAUUAA